CUGGAUCACCUCCUUUCUAAGGAGAAAGAAGAAACGUGGAAAUUGAAGGAAAAGGGAGUAUGAGAUCCUGUUUAGUUUUGAGAGGUCAUAGACUUCUCAGAGGAAUCAAUCUUUGAAAACUGAGCAACUAAGAAGAAAAGACAUAACAGAAAAGGUCUAAAACGUAAGUUGUAAGAUAAACUGAGAAAACAGUAAAAAACAGUUCUUGAAAAAGAACAUCUCGAAACACACGAGAACCACUGAUUAAGUAAGGAAGGGCGCACGGUGGAUGCCU
rnacentral:misc_RNA from 1 species